GAGUUUGAUCGUGGCUCAGGAUGAACGCUAGCGACAGGCUUAACACAUGCAAGUCGAGGGGCAGCAUGAUUUGUAGCAAUACAGAUUGAUGGCGACCGGCGCACGGGUGAGUAACACGUAUCCAACCUGCCCUUUACUCGGGGAUAGCCUUUCGAAAGAAAGAUUAAUACCCGAUAGCAUAAUGAUUCCGCAUGGUUUCAUUAUUAAAGGAUUCCGGUAAAGGAUGGGGAUGCGUUCCAUUAGGUUGUUGGUGAGGUAACGGCUCACCAAGCCUUCGAUGGAUAGGGGUUCUGAGAGGAACGGUCCCCCCAAUUGGAACUGAGACACGGUCCAAACUCCUACGGGAGGCAGCAGUGAGGAAUAUUGGUCAA
rnacentral:rRNA from 1 species